CCUACGGGUGGCAGCAGUGGGGAAUAUUGGACAAUGGGGGGAACACUGAUCCAGCGACGCCGCGUGAGUGAAGAAGUAUUUCGGUAUGUAAAGCUCUAUCAGCAGGGAAGAAAGCAAUGACGGUACCUGACUAAGAAGCCCCGGCUAACUACGUGCAAGCAGCAGCGGCAAUACGUAGGGGGCAAGCGUUAUCCGGAUUUACUGGGUGAAAAGGGAGCGUAGACGGUUACGCAAGUCUGGAGUGAAAGGCGGGGGCCCAACCCCCGGACUGCUUGGGAAACUGUAUACCUGGAGUGCAGGAGAGGUAAGUGGAAUUCCUUGUGUAGCGGUGAAAUGCGUAGAUAUUAGGAGGAACACC
rnacentral:rRNA from 1 species